UGAUGCCCUUAUGCUCUGUAACAAGUUUGAGCUUUUUCCAACAAAUAUUUUUCAAGUUAUGAGCAAAAAUUCUCCAGUUCCUAUUCCUACUUUGUGUGUGGUUAUUUAUUCUUUAUUAACUAUCCUACAGGUGUUAACUUCAAACUCAAUUGAAGGACCUUCAGGAACAGCUUUCAAGCUAAGUACUCUUCACUUGAGAAGACUAAGAGUCAUGUUGCUGGUGAACUUGAGGAUGUGAUGCUUGACCUUGAGAAGGAGAGGAACGCUACUGCUGCCUGGGAGAAGAAGAAGAAAGCCAUUGACCAGCAGAUCAAUGAAUGGAAAGCAAAAUAUGAAGGCUCACAACAAGAACUUGAUGCAAGCAAAUUUGAAUCCUGCAUGUACAGCUUUGAGCUACUGAAACUCAAAUCUGAGAACAGUGAUCUCAAAGAUGAAUGGCAACCAAAGACAACAAACAACUACAAAACGAUCUUGCUGAAAUUGAAAAACAAUUAACUGAGGGAGGGACUAGCGUCCACGACCUUGAGAAAGCUAAAAAGAAACUUGAACAAGAAACCAAUCUCAUGAUGGAGAGAACAAAAGGCCAAUUGGAAGUAGAGCAGAACACUGUCUUUGUCUUCAAUUAGAAAUAUCACAGCUCAAACA
rnacentral:misc_RNA from 1 species